CAUACCUUCUGAUGGCAUACCUUCUCAUGGCAUACCUUCUGAUGGCAUACCUUCUGAUGGCAUACCUUCUCAUCGCAUACCUUCUCAUGGCAUACCUUCUCAUGGCAUGAUGGCAUACCUUCUCAUGGCAUACCUUCUCAUGGCAUACCUUCUCAUGGCAUACCUUCUCAUGGCAUACCUUCUCAUGGCAUACCUUCUCAUGGCACACCUUCUCAUGGCAUACCUUCUGAUGGCAUACCUUCUCAUGGCAUACCUUCUGAUGGCAUACCUUCUCAUGGCAUACCUUCUCAUGGCAUACCUUCUGAUGGCAUACCUUCUCAUGGCAUACCUUCUGAUGGCAAUUUCAACAGGAUAUAGAAAUCUCUCCGCAUAGAUCAUAUUAUCCUUAGUUUCAGUUAUUCCCAAUGGGCCGGCAAUGUUAAUAAAAUAGUCAUUAAAGAUCUAAGUCUUUAAUAUCUAAGUUUUCGUAAUAAUCAAAUUUGGUUUGUCGCAAGAUUUUACACAUAAGUACCAGUGGCGUAGCGUCCGGGUAUUCAAGGUAUUCAGUGAAUACCCUGAGAUUUCUCAGAAAAAAUAUUAAUACGACGUAUAAUUGUAAUAACUAAAAAAUGUUUUGGGGCCAUUGAUUCUGGUUGAAAUCGUUACCUUCGAUAUUCUACAUUUUGUACUAGUACAAAAUAUCACGAAAUUCAUGGAAACAAUAACGCUGCGAAGCAUAGAGAAGCUGGGAGAACUUUGAAGCUAAUUUUGAAGAUUGAGUUACUUCAUGUUGAAUGGAGAUAGGUCAUGAAUACGCAGUGAAUACCCUAGACGGUUCUUUAACCAAUCAAAAUGCUCCUUUCCAUGAAUAAUAUUUGCCGUUAAUCAGCUAAAACAAUGGUCUUGUACGCUAAGAAAUAUGCAGCGUACAGCCUCAAAGUUGGUUCAAAAUAGUCUCGUUUUGAGAUCGAUAUAAACAGUUAAUGGACGUCGGAGCGGUUGGAGUGGUGGAUCUUCAUCGAAAACAGUAAACAUGACUUCAUUCAAAGCUAUUGCAAUGUCCGUAUUACUGUUUAAUAAUCAUUCUCUCAUUUGACCCCUAAUCUUAACCUACCAACAGCAAAGUGGAAAGGAAAGGUAUCAAGAGAAGGUGUUUACAGUUACUUCCUCUUUACAUCAGUGCAAAUUUUAGAGGAUUCAACAACAACUAUUGGGACAUAUUUCGACUAGCAAAAUUUUACUGACUUUCAAUGAUACAUUUUGAUUUGAAUUACAUUUGAUGAAAUGGUUAGUGGUAUUUUGAUGCAAUGAAUGAGUUCGAACAGUAUAUUAGCGUUGAGUUUUUUAGCAAAGUAUCGUUUUCAUCAUAGUAAUGCCCUGAUAGUGCAGUACUUGCCAACCGAACCAGAAAGAAAAUUAGAUAAAUUGUCAAUAGCUAGUCCCUUUAAUCUUCCUAUUAUCCCUCCUAUUUCCAUCAAGCCCCAUCAAGCCACACCCUGCCCCACCCUUUUGUUUAAUAGAGCAUACCCAGUUGAAAAAGUCACGCUACGCCACUGAUAAGUACCCAUAUGCGCUGCGGUUAUAUGCGAUUCUUACAUUUGUUACGCAGCUUUGAUCGAAGCAUUGUCCUUUUUGUUAGGGUUUUUGUCAUGAUGACGAGUGCGUGUUCACCUCUGGUUUUGAAUACUCAGUUUCCCCAUUAUUCAUGUUACAAAGACUUUCCAUGAGCGCCUGUUGGAUCUAUUUUCAUCGAAUUUGCGAUAAUCUCCUUUUAGGGGCCCCUUUAAACGAAACUACUUUUCAAUAUAGUAACAAUCGUUGAAAAAAGUCCGAUACUCCCGUUUCAACUGUACAUGAGUUUUAAAAGAGGAAGAUUUAUCUGUAAGAAUCAAAUCAAUGCAUCUGGGAUUAUCUGACUUAAAACAUGUAGGAACAUUGCUUCCGUAUCAAAAUCGCCUAGAAUU